CGUUAUAUCAGUGGCACGGAAGUAGCUGGCAACGCAAGUAAUCCGGGCGCUGCAGCUUUAAGUAGCUGCGCGCGCUCCCGCGGACGGCAAUCACUUUUUGGCACAACACCUGUUAUGGGAGUCGGCUGGCGUGCAUAUUGAUUGACUGGAUGAUAUCCUGCGCAAAUUUGCGUAACUUCCCUAAACCCAACACCCCCUAGAAUUACUGGCUUUUUUAUUUUCUGGUGCAAGUCCCGAGGUGUUAAGCACCCCUGCUGAGAUUUUCACAGGUUGUCAGCUUGUUUCUCCUACAGCUUUUGUUGUACAAACCACCCGUUGUCCUUGAGGCCUGGCACAUUUGCAUUUGCUCACUCAGAGUUGCUCAGAUCCAAGGCAGGCCAAACCUCUGUGUUACAACUUUCAGAAAUGCCUGCCGUAUCUAUACAAAAUAUCCCACACAUUGACUGACCUGCAAAUAUAAAAGACACACAUUCACACCUUCCUUGACUCUCAGCACAGAUCUUCCAUUGUUCCAUCGUCACUGUGUAUGUGACGGAGUGGCAUUGCUUGCCUACAGCACAGUGCUGUGCAUAAAAGCAGACCGACCCAGGCCGGAGAAUCAUUUCUUGUUCGCAUUUCUGAGAACGCACAUCAGGAUGGCCUCCGUAUCACUGCCACGCAGGAAGAACCUCUCCACGCAACAGGCUUUGGCCUUACUUCGGGAAAUGGACGAAGCAGAUUCUGAUGGAGGAGAGGUUUCAUUUGUCCAGCAGGCCACUGAUACCUCUUCAGAAGAAUCUGAAAAUGAGACGGAACAAGAACCCAACAUGCCUCCACGGAAGAGGCCCCGUGGUACUGGGAAGCCCAGCCAGAACCACACGGCAAAAGACGGCACUGUGUGGGUUGAGGAGGACAUUGGAAUGCCCAGUGCAGAAGCAAAUCGUUUCGUGCUUCACUGCGCAAGCUGGACCCACAGAGUCUGCUAAGCGUAAAGUUACAAGUGUGCUCCAAAGCUUCCUUUGCCUGUUAGACGUGGGAAUGCUGCAGACCAUCAGAGAGUGCACGGUACAUCAAGCCCGCAGAACAGAGCCGGACUGGAAUUUGGCAGUUCAUGAACUUAUGGCAUCCAUUUCAAUCCUGUUUGUAAGAGCAAUCAUGUGUCCUGUUGGUGCCAUUGUGGAUUGCUGGUCAGAAAGUUUUCUGGUGCCACUAAUCAAAGAGACAAUGCCCCGAGAGAUUAAUUUCAAUUAUGCAACACCUUCGAUUUGAUGACAGGGACACGUGGGCAGAACGGGUGAAAACAGACAAAUUUGCAGUGAUCUCCGACAUCUGGACACGCUUCAACGAGAACUGUGCUAAGAGUUUCACUCCAGGGGAACACAUGACCAUAGAUGAACAGCUGUUCCCUACCAAGGUUCGUUGUCCAUUCACACAGUAUAUUGCAACCAAGCCAGACAAAUUUGGGAUCAAGUUCUGGAUGGCCACAGUUUGGACACCAAAUAUGUCUGCAGUGCAUCUCCUUACUUGGGAAAGGACCCCAGUCAUCAGAAGGGAGAGAGGCUGGCAGAGAACGUGGUCAUGAAACUGAUGGAGCAGUUUUUGGAUGGUGGAAGAAAUGUCACAACGGACAAUUUCUUUACUUCACUGUCACUGUCGCACAGACUGCUGCAGCGCAAAACAACAUUACUGGGCACGGUGAAUAAAGUCCGGCGUGAACUUCCUCAACUUGCAAAAGAUACUGCAAAGCGAGAGGUAUUCUCCACUUCAGUGCUUAGAAGUGGCAGUGUCUCCUUGACAAUUUAUGCACCUAAAAAAAAACAAGACUGUGUGUGUUCUAAGUUCCAUGCACCAAGACGUGACGGCAGAAAGAGGAAACCCAACACGAUCACAGACUACAACCACAUGAAGUGUGGUGUAGGCGUGUUGGACCAAAUGGCACGGAUGUAUUCUGUAAGAUCAGCAACACGCAGGUGGCCAGUAGCGGUUUUCUACAAUAUGCUGGACCUGGCGGCAGUGAAUGCCUACAUUUUGUACAAGGCAUGUACAGGGUGGACAGGCAAAGAAGAUUGUUUCUGCGUCUUCUAGCUCAGCAACCGUAGCAGAUUCAUGCAGCACAAGGAAAUCUUAGCACAGAGGCAGGCUGCUGCAGCUGCUGUGCCAGGGACUGUAAAGACAACGCAGUGCCAGGUGCAAGAGAGCUGCAACAGGAAUCGCAGCAGAUUUACCUGUGCAACAUGUAAGAAAUUCACCUGUGCCAAAUGCAGGGAUGAUGGACACUGGGUCUGCAAACGCUGUAAAGUUUGAAACACUGAAAUAAAACAGACUUGUG
ensembl:lncRNA